UACGGAGGGUGCGAGCGUUGUCCGGAAUCACUGGGCGUAAAGGGCGCGUAGGCGGUUUGACAAGUCUGAUGUGAAAUCUCUGGGCUCAACCCAGAGUCUGCAUUAGAAACUGUCGGGCUUGAGUAUGGGAGAGGUGAGUGGAAUUUCCGGUGUAGCGGUGAAAUGCGUAGAUAUCGGAAAGAACACCAACGGCGAAAGCACUCUGCUGGGCCGACACUGACACUGAGAGACGAAAGCUAGGGGAGCGAAUGGG
rnacentral:rRNA from 1 species